rnacentral:rRNA from 1 species
AGGACGAACGCUGGCGGCGUGCCUAAUACAUGCAAGUCGAACGGUCUUUCUAUGGAAGCUUGCUUCACUGAGAAGAUAGUGGCGAACGGGUGAGUAACACGUGGGUAACCUGCCCAUAAGAGGGGGGAUAACAUCCGGAAACGGGUGCUAAUACCGCAUAGUUUUCUUGAUCGCAUGAUCGGGAAAGGAAAGACGGCCUUUGUGCUGUCGCUUAUGGAUGGACCCGCGGCGUAUUAGUUAGUUGGUGAGGUAACGGCUCACCAAGACGAUGAUACGUAGCCGACCUGAGAGGGUGAUCGGCCACAUUGGGACUGAGACACGGCCCAAACUCCUACGGGAGGCAGCAGUAGGGAAUCUUCCGCAAUGGACGAAAGUCUGACGGAGCAACGCCGCGUGAGUGAAGAAAGGUUUUCGGAUCGUAAAACUCUGUUGUCAGAGAAGAACAAGUUGGAGAGUAACUGCUCCAGCCUUGACGGUAUCCGACCAGAAAGCCACGGCUAACUACGUGCCAGCAGCAGC